AACGAACGCUGGCGGCAGGCUUAGCACAUGCAAGUCGAGCGCCCCGCAAGGGGAGCGGCAGACGGGUGAGUAACGCGUGGGAACGUACCUUUUGGUUCGGAACAACUCCGGGAAACUGGAGCUAAUACCGGAUAAGCCCUAACGGGGAAAGAUUUAUCGCCGAAAGAUCGGCCCGCGUCUGAUUAGCUAGUUGGUGAGGUAACGGCUCACCAAGGCGACGAUCAGUAGCUGGUCUGAGAGGAUGAUCAGCCACACUGGGACUGAGACACGGCCCAGACUCCUACGGGAAGCAGCAGUGGGGAAUAUUGGACAAUGGGCGCAAGCCUGAUCCAGCCAUGCCGCGUGAGUGAUGAAGGCCUUAGGGUUGUAAAGCUCUUUUGUCCGGGAAGAUAAUGACUGUACCGGAAGAAUAAGCCCCGGCUAACUUCGUG
rnacentral:rRNA from 1 species